rnacentral:rRNA from 1 species
UACGUAGGGGGCAAGCGUUAUCCGGAUUUACUGGGUGUAAAGGGAGCGUAGGUGGCAUGGUAAGCCAGAAGUGAAAACCCGGGGCUCAACCCCGCGGAUUGCUUUUGGAACUAUCAGGCUGGAGUGCUGGAGGGGUAAGCGGAAUUCCUAGUGUAGCGGUGAAAUGCGUAGAUAUUAGGAGGAACACCGGUGGCGAAGGCGGCUUACUGGACAGAAACUGACACUGAGGCUCGAAAGCGUGGGGAGCAAACAGG